AGAAAAGGAAUUUAUGCCUUCAUUUUCUAUGUAAGUUUCAUGGCAUCUCAUCCAAAGUGACAGAAAAAAAUGAUCCUAGAAUAUCUGCAGCAUAUUUUGCUGAAUGUUAACAGCAGGUUCAGAUGUGUUUCAUUUCUGACCUUGUGAAAUGCUUUCUUGCUUAUGCAAUGCUUUAUACAUCAAAUAUACAAACCACGAUGAACGAUUCAGCUUCUAGCAAAAGGAUAAAUCGGAGAAAACAAAUAUUGUUCAGGAUUCAAGCACAACAACUUAUAGGAAGAAAACAUAUCACCAAAUAUUGAUAGAGGAAAUUUAAAGGUGCGGAAAUUUCUUCAAUGUCAACAGGAGAUGUGGAACAAGAACUGCG
rnacentral:lncRNA from 1 species